AUUGAACGCUAGCGGGAUGCUUUACACAUGCAAGUCGAACGGCAGCGCGGACUUCGGUCUGGCGGCGAGUGGCGAACGGGUGAGUAAUGUAUCGGAACGUGCCCAGUAGCGGGGGAUAACUACGCGAAAGCGUAGCUAAUACCGCAUACGCCCUACGGGGGAAAGCAGGGGAUCGUAAGACCUUGCACUAUUGGAGCGGCCGAUAUCGGAUUAGCUAGUUGGUGGGGUAACGGCUCACCAAGGCGACGAUCCGUAGCUGGUUUGAGAGGACGACCAGCCACACUGGGACUGAGACACGGCCCAGACUCCUACGGGAGGCAGCAGUGGGGAAUUUUGGACAAAGGGGGCAACCCUGAUCCAGCCAUCCCGCGUGUGCGAUGAAGGCCUUCGGGUUGUAAAGCACUUUUGGCAGGAAAGAAACGUCGCGGGCUAAUACCCCGUGGAACUGACGGUACCUGCAGAAUAAGCACCGGCUAACUACGUG
rnacentral:rRNA from 1 species